UACAGAGGGGGCAAGCGUUGUUCGGAAUUACUGGGCGUAAAGGGCGCGUAGGCGGCCUUCUAAGUCGAACGUGAAAUCCCUGGGCUCAACCCAGGAACUGCGUCCGAUACUGGGAGGCUUGAAUCCGGGAGAGGGAUGCGGAAUUCCAGGUGUAGCGGUGAAAUGCGUAGAUAUCUGGAGGAACACCGGUGGCGAAGGCGGCAUCCUGGACCGGUAUUGACGCUGAGGCGCGAAAGCGUGGGGAGCAAACAGG
rnacentral:rRNA from 1 species